CACAUAUUCUAAAAUUGGAACGAUACAGAGAAGAUUAGCAUGGCCCCUGCGCAAGGAUGACAUGCAAAUUCGUGAAGCGUUCCAUAUUUUUUUGGCAAGGCAUGUUGGUUUGCUUGUGGGAAUCCCAAAGGAGACCCCAGCUCUCAUGAUUAAUAGGCUCUGUGGUUCUGGUUUUCAGUCCAUUGUGAAUGGGUGUUAGCAAAUUUGUGUUAAAGAAGCUGAAGUUGUUUUAUGCGGAGGAACCGAAAGCAUGAGCCAAGCUCCCUACUGUGUCAGAAAUGUGCGUUUUGGAACGAAGCUUGGAUCAGAUAUCAAGCUGGAAGAUUCUUUAUGGGUAGGAUUAACAGAUCAGCGUGUCCAGCUCCCCAUGGCAAUGACUGCAGAGAAUCUUGCUGUAAAACAUAAAAUAAGCAGAGAAGAAUGUGACAAAUACGCCCUGCAGUCACAGCAGAGAUGGAAAGCUUCUAAUGAUGCUGGCUACUUUAAUGAUGAAAUGGCACCAAUUGAAGUGAAGACAAAGAAAGGAAAACAGACAAUGCAGGUAGAUGAGCAUGCUGGGCCCCAAACAACCCUGAAAUAGUUACAGAAACUUCCUCCAGUAUUCAAGAAAGAUGGAACUGUCACUGCAGGGAAUGCAUCGGGGAUAGCUGAUGGUGCUGGAGCUGUUAUCAUAACUAGUGAAGAUGCUGUUAAGAAACAUAACUUCACACCACUGACAAGAAUUUUGGGCUACUUUGUAUCUGGAUGUGAUCCUUCUAUCAUGGGUAUUGGUCCUGUCCCUGCUAUCAGUGGGGCACUGAAGAAAACAGGACUGAGUCUUAAGAACAUGGAUUUGGUAGAGGUGAAUGAAGCUUUUGCUCCCCAGUAAUUGGCUGUUGAGAAGAGUUUGGAUCUUGACAUAAGUAAAACCAAUGUGAAUGGAGGAGCCAUUGCUUUGGGUCACCCACUGGGAGGAUCUGGAUUGGUUCAUGAAUUAAGGCAUCAAGGUGGAAAAUAUGCCGUUGGAUCAGCUUGCACUGGAGGUGGCCACGGUAUUGCUGUCAUCAUUCAGAGCACAGCCUGAAGAGACCAAUGAGCUCACUGUGACCCACUCUUACUCUACUUGGCCAGGCCACAGUAAAACAAGUGACCUUCAGAGCAGCUGCCACAACUGGCCAUGCCCUGCCAUUGAAACAGUGAUUGAGUUUGAUCAAGCCAUGGUGAUACAAAAAUGCAUUGAUCAUGAAUAGGAGCCCAUGCUAGAAGUACGG